rnacentral:lncRNA from 1 species
UCUUAUGAAUCAAUUUCAUUUCCAAGAGCCCUGUUGGUGUGCCAUUUGAUUCCAAAUGCUAUGCUCUUCCCACUUGGCUCUUCUGUUUUGUUUGUGCAAUCUGGGUUCGUCUCGGAAGUGUGUAUUUAAGGUUCUCUCCAGGUUAGAGAGAAUGUGGCAGCAUGCCUGAUGAUGUCACCCACUGCUUCUGUUAUACCCUGCCCAGCUUACCCCUUCCCUCUGGGCCUUUUAUAGGACCUUGUAUUUAGUCCAACAACAACAAUAGCACAACACCCAUAAACAAAACACCUCUGCAUAUAAUACAAUGUACUUGCCUACUUGCUGACUGAAAGAGCUCCCACAGCCUCCCAGGUGCUGCCCUGCGCUUGGAGCAAAGCCUAUCUGAGGCUGAAGAAUGAGUAAGUCACCACCUGAAUCCUGCCCUCCAGCCAGCUCUCUUCAUCAUGGAAAUUCUUGGAGCAGAGUGGAAGGGAACCUGAGAGGAGAGAUGGCACCUUCACUGAUUCCUCCUUUAUCUUUCCAGACUUCAUGGCUGAGACAGAGCUGAGAGCAGAGAAAACAGACUCAUAAAAUCCUGGCAGAAUCUUUCCAUUCUAAUAGAGAAAAGAGGAAGGUAUGGAAAAGAGUGAAAUUGGCAUAAAAAAUCCAAUAAAGGGCAACGAGCAGGAAACAACAAAAACAUGGGAAACUGCCGACCUGAGGAAUCGCGCUCUUCUAACUUUACAGCUUCACCUGCCGUGUUUGCUCCUGGAGGACUGAGACUUUUGUCUGAUUCGUCUGCUGCUGUCUUCCCGAUGCCUAGAACACUGCCUGAUGCACGGGAAGUAUUUGUCAGAUACAUCCCAUGGCUUCUAAUGCCAUUUGCAAGGAUGAAAGCUGGGUGUGCCCGGCUGUACGGCAAUACUUCCAAAGGCCUGUAGGACUCCCCAGUGACUGUCCCAUUCACCAGGAGGAGGACUGCAGUCACCUGCAUUGUCCUGGGAAGGUCAGCCAGGCCUUUUCCCAAUGUCUGUCUGGGAAAAGCCCCGGUGUAGUCUGCUCGGUCCUACACCCAGAAUCACGGGGGCUUCAGGAGCAGGCAUUACGAGGCAAGGAGUAGCUUCUCCCCCUCACCUCCCACUCAGCAGAACGCACUAGCCCUGUGCUCUUCUGAUCCUGAAGGCAGCUGAGUCUGAAAAGUUCCUGUACCUUUAAAGGUACUAGAGGCAGUGUGGUGCCCACUCAGGAACUGCAUGAUUUAAAUAGGUUUCUAGGAUAAAGGCAACUCGUAGCACAAAGGAACAAGUCCCAGGGAGUGGCAUUCCAGAUCAUUUGAUUCCUGAGCGAAGGAAUUAUUAUGGUGUGGAGGUGGGGACCUCCUUACUACAUUCCAAAUUGCAAUAAGGUUGUAAGGGUUUUCUCUUCCAUUCUGAAGUACUUUGACAAUAGUUUUGAACUUCAAAAAUGUUUAUUAAAGGUGUUUUCACAGCAGUUUCAUAAUGUUUAAUUUGUUAAUUACUGGAAUUGAUGCUAAAUAAAACAGGCAAGUAAUACUUCAGAUGGCUUCAUCUUCAGAGUCUUCUUCAUGUGUGACUCAAAAUGCACAAUUUUGGCCGGGCACAGUGGCUCACGCCUGUAAUCCCAGCACUUUGGGAGGCUGAGACAGGCGGAUCACCUGAGGUCAGGAGUUUGAGACCAGUUUGGCCAACAUGGUGAAACCCCAUCUCUACUAAAAAUACAAAAAUUAGAUGGGCAUGGUGGUGUGUGCCUGUAAUCCCAGCUGCUUGGGAAGCUGAGGCAGGAGAAUUGAUUGAACCCAAGAGGCGGGGCUUGCAGUGAGCCGAGAUCCCGCUCCAGCCUGGGCAACAAGAGCGAGACUCCGUCUCAAAAAAAGAAAAAAAAAGCACAAUUUCAGGACAGCCUAAGCAAAUAAAAAAUGGGAAAUGGAAAUGGAUUCGAAGCAGGGAGGACGUUCCGCCCACUGUCACACCGAAGGAAUGGUGGAGGCUGUGAGUCCUCCGCCCACUGUCACACCGAAGGAUGGUGGAGGCUGUGAGUCCUCCUGUAAGCCGCCGCUGGAGAAGGGGCAGCUCUGGAACCUGACGACAUUCUCCUAUCUUGCAUGAGGUGGAGACAAAGAGUCCUUCUGCGCUGGGACAGGAUGAGGGCGAAGUGGUGACUUCAGGUCAGAAGCAGAGCCUUGGGGACCUCUGAUUCUCAAGGGCGAGCUCCCUCCAGAACCCCAAGAGAUGGCCCUGACUGCAUGGGAAAGCGUGUCUCACCAUUGCAAUGUUCUCUAAGUCUGGAGGAGGCGGAGCCCAGUGAGAAUGACAGGCAGACCGCAAGGAGGCCCGGAAGCCCCCCAUGGCGAGGAUGCAUCCAAGUGUAUUCUGUAGGAGUGACCAGUGGCCACGUGGGUAGUGGGCAGAGCUUGUUUUCCUCCAAUAUCAGCGUACAGAGCAGGGGAGCCUGGUGAAGGUUUCUCUCUGAAAUCAUGGAUUCAGCUGUAUUAGUUUCUAUCCAAGGCUGGCAUAGCUCACCUUCCACUCCAGCAAUGACCUCGGGCCAGCUGUCACGAGCCUUCUCACCACGAGGAUGGUCUGGGGUGGUGAGAUCUCACUGUUGGCCAUAAUUCAUUCAACAUUUCUUCACUUCUCUGCUUGUAAGUUUUCAUUUCCUCUGCAGCUGGUAGCUUCUGUCAUUUCUUUUCCUAUUUAUACCAGUCCUGAAUCAGCUUCUUUUUCAGAACCAUGCAUUUCUCUCGGUAGAGGUCG